rnacentral:rRNA from 1 species
UACGGGGGGGGGCAAGCGUUGUUCGGAAUUACUGGGCGUAAAGGGCUCGUAGGCGGCCAACUAAGUCGGAUGUGAAAUCCCCCAGGCUUAACCUGGGAACUGCAUCCGAUACUGGAAGGCUUGAAUCCGGGAGGGGGAUGCGGAAUUCCAGGUGUAGCGGUGAAAUGCGUAGAUAUCUGGAGGAACACCGGUGGCGAAGGCGGCAUCCUGGACCGGUAUUGACGCUGAGGCGCGAAAGCCAGGGGAGCAAACGGG